AGGCAGAGAGUGAGGAAGAAGGUGGUUGUGUUAGAUCUAAGUAAGUGUUCUGCAAAUCAGUUUACUUCACAGAGUCAUUUGUGGAGCUAUUGUUCAGGAUAUUUGUAUCUGAAUAGAGCUUGUCUCUCUCCUCACCCAGCUUCUCUAUCCCAGGCGUCUAAAUGAAGGCACAAACUUCCACCAGGGUGACUGUGGCUGGUUGCCAUGGAAAUAGCGAGAAGGCAAUGGAUUCAGCACUAUGACUUCACUGUGGCUCACAAACUGGAGGAUGAAGAGACCCGCUAAUUAAUGGAGCGCCAGGGACAGCUUGAAGAGAAAGUCACACAGUAGAUAAAGCUAGGUUUUCAGGGCUCUCAAAAGAAAUAAUCACAGUCCCAAGAGGACUGUGGAAGAGAAUGCUUUCUCCUCUGAGAUCUGUCUCCUUUUGAGUUCUAAUAGCUGCUUUUCCCUGACUCUCUGGAGGGAGGUGGAAAUGGAGCUAUUUAGGAAACUUUCCAGCCAACUGAAUUCAAGAAGUCUACCUAUGGACAAAGGGAUAAAGAAAAGCAAAAUACAAGUGCACCACUGCCUCCCCUUGGUCUGCUUCGUCCCUUGCCUCCUGGCCCACUUGCAAGGCCAACUCUUGACCAGCCAGAAGAAAUGCAAGAGCAUCUGGUGUAGCAGAGUCCGUUGGAAUAAAAUGUGAACGCACAGUUGUACUCCAGUCAGUCCGCAAGUACCAGCUGGUGGGAGUGCAAUAGGAAAAGCAUUUUCUCACUGGUAGCCCAUUUUUAAACACUUCAUCACAAAUGAAGAAGAUUGAAUCGAUCGGUUAAAAGAUAUCAGAUUUCAUUCCACAAAUGCCUUGUGAGUGCUAUUUACUGAAUUGGGUGCUGGGGAGGUUUCUUAGGUAAAUGAGAUGGAUUCCUCCUGUCAGUUAGACAAUUGUCAAGCAGACAAUUCCAGCAUCACAUGGAAGGAAUAAGCCUGUGAUGCCUGGUGAGAUGGAAUCUAAAUAGUAUGCCAACCUCCUCUUCUGCGUCUAGAGGUGAAGUCACCCGAAGAUGCAGUUUAACAUUCGUAGCAUUGUGCCUCUGUGCUGAACAUGUAUGGUUGAAUUUGGCUCAUAAAGAUGUAUGGUGCUACACCACUAGACAGAAGUUCUGCUGAGCUCAUGCCAGGGUCUAGGAUUAGAGUGGGUGGUGUAGCAGCAAUUACAGUGUGCAGCUAUGGUGAGCGGCCACUCCAAGUCCAGCCCCUUGGUAAGGUAGCCAAGCUUAACUAACAAGGGCUGAGCAGACAACAUAUAAAAUCUGUGAUCCUUUAGCUCCAGUUUAGGGGCCCACUGUGGCCUGGGCAGGGAUUUGGAUCAGCUGAGGUAUGGCCAUAACAGCAGAAAAGCAUCCACCUUGCUGCGCAUGACAAGGGAACCAUAAUAAUCCCAUGUGGGAACAAUGGGCUGACCAGAGUGACCUCUUUUUCCUGGCACGCAGAAGCAAAACUCACCUCUUUUAACUAAAUUCUCAGGUGUUAACAAUUUGGGGUGGAAAAGAGGUCUCAAAGGUGAGAUAAUUGAUUUACUGCUAAUAGAAGCAUGUGG
rnacentral:lncRNA from 13 species